GGGCGCUUAGCUCAGAGGUAGAGCGCCUCUCUGACGCAGAGGAGGUCGCAGGUUCAAGUCCUGCAGCGCCCACCA
rnacentral:tRNA from 2 species